rnacentral:sRNA from 1 species
CAUAUUCGAAGCUGCGUACUCCUCCUCCCAACGCGCUUCGAUAGGUUGGCAACGCUCCUCCUCCCAGUUGCUGACCAACGCAAAUGACGCUCACCGGAUCCUCCUCCCCCGGUGAGCGUUAUUU